UGGGGAAUCGUCUAGCGGUAGGACAUCAGACUUUGGAUCUGAGUGCCCAGGUUCGAAUCCUGGUUCCCCAG
rnacentral:tRNA from 1 species